UACGGGGGGGGGCAAGUGUUGUUCGGAAUUACUGGGCGUAAAGGGCUCGUAGGUGGCCAACUAAGUCAGACGUGAAAUCCCUCGGCUUAACCGGGGAACUGCGUCCGAUACUGGUUGGCUUGAGUUUGGGAGAGGGAUGCGGAAUUCCAGGUGUAGCGGUGAAAUGCGUAGAUAUCUGGAGGAACACCGGUGGCGAAGGCGGCAUCCUGGACCGGUAUGACGCUGAGGCGACGCAAAGGCCAGGGGAGACCAAAGCGGGU
rnacentral:rRNA from 1 species